UUCCAGACUCCUACGGGAGGCAGCAGUGGGGAAUAUUGCACAAUGGGGGAAACCCUGAUGCAGCGACGCCGCGUGAGUGAAGAAGUAUUUCGGUAUGUAAAGCUCUCUCAGCAGGGAAGAUAAUGACGGUACCUGACUAAGAAGCCCCGGCUAACUACGUGCCAGCAGCCGCGGUAAUACGUAGGGGGCAAGCGUUAUCCGGAUUUACUGGGUGUAAAGGGUGCGUAGGUGGCAUGGCAAGUCAGAAGUGAAAGCCCGGGGCUCAACCCCGCGGACUGCUUUUGAAACUGUCAGGCUGGAGUACAGGAGAGGUAAGCGGAAUUCCUAGUGUAGCGGUGAAAUGCGUAGAUAUUAGGAGGAACACCAGUGGCGAAGGCGGCUUACUGGACUGUAACUGACACUGAGGCACGAAAGCGUGGGGAGCAAACAGGAUUAGAUACCCCAGUA
rnacentral:rRNA from 1 species